UUUGAAAACACUGAAUGAAUGCAGUGCCUGUAGUAUAAUUGUACCUUGAUUUCUUGAUUUAUUUUCCCCAUGUUGUUAGUGGCAUUAAUGCUACAGUACUAGAUUGUCCAGAGCGGUAACCAAAAAAUGAAAUAUAAUCUGAAUUUACAAAUUAGUCUUGAUAGUUCUAUCCGGAUCUCAGAAUUUAUUCAAAAUGUAUAGCGUUUCCAGAUCCACUGUGUUUUCCUGAACAGACGUCCCUAAUAUGUAAACAAAGGAGGGAUCGGCACUCUCAUCACUUGUAG